CUCUCAGUGUCAUUCCGAUCCCACUUUGACGGGCAGCAGAGUUUCUGCGGGGAAAAAGAAAUGUUUUGUUUGCUUCAAAUUCCCUUUUCCCUUGGAAGCGUAAACGUGAAAUUACUUUCUCCUCCUCCAUUGGGAUGUCUUAUUUAUUUUCCUGCUGGUGGCUGUUAAAGGAGACGCGGUUCAAUUAUGCCCUGGGUUGAAUUAAUGGCUCGCACAGCUCAGUGAGUGUGUUCUGGUGUGAACUUACCCAUGUGAAGGGGAUGGUGGGGCUUUCGUGGGGCAAGGGAAAGCCCUGCAGGAGGAGAGCUCCCUGCAGCCCUCUUGAAUCUGUGACAUAUGUUUGGUUGUAGGAUCCAGAGUAGACUUCACAUCUGAGCUAAGUGAAGCUUUUUAUUUUCUGACAUGCAGAGUAUGUCCAUCUCAGUCUGGACCCUAUUAGAAACUUCAGUUAGAAGUCUGCUAACUUCUCUUGAAUGCUGUCACUCAAUCACUAUCUUAUACUGGAGUCUUCAGAUGCCUUAUUUAGAGGAGCAAUGGAGUUUUACCACAAAUAACUUUUGGUUGAUUCCCCUUGCACCUACAUUUGUUCUUGUUUGUAUUCUUCUUUGUUGACAGUUCAAGCACAUAAGUACCCCCCCAAGGAGCAUCCUGAAGGACUUGUUUCCUCUUUGUCUUUCCUUAGCAUUGAAAACUGGACUGCAUUAUUUUUUACAAGCCCUGAUAAAAUAUUAGCCAUGUGAGUAAUGGAUCACGCACAGCUCGAGGUCUUCCCUGCGCCUAGAGAAUCUCUGCGGGUGGGUGGACUUUCUCUGCUUUGCUCCUGCAGGCUAGGUCUGGCUUCCAUACAGCCUCAUCUCAUACAGCUCAUCUCUCAAAUCCAUGUAGCACCAUGAGCACCCUUAACACUUCUCGGAAUGAUGACAUUGCUUCUACUUCAGGUUGAAAACUUUGGUGUGCUCUUGAGCAGCUGCUGUGUGCUGCUUUCCCAAGGACUAGAACAAGCCAAGGUGCAAAGCGGUGCUGUACUCAGUGUCUGCCCUUCCGCUCAGAUACAGGAGAAAGCAAUCCAGCAGUGGUCAUUUUUCAUCAGUAAUGAAUGAAUUUGUCUCUUUUUUAGUUCUCCCUCCAGCUUUUUGAGUUAUGUAGCUGAUACUACCAAAAAGCACUCGCUUUACUGUGGGGCCAUUGUAAACAAGCAAUGUAUUUGUUGCCAUAAGGGCACAGCAAGGUUAAAUACUAAAUACCACUAGAUGAGAUUUUGCAGACAUUUUGGUUAUGCAGAGCCAUGAAAGCGCCUGAGGCUGUCAUCAGAUCCAUCUGGAAUCCAUAAUCAGGAUAAGUGAGAUGAUUGUCUUUGCUUUUCAUAAUUUGAGGAGUGACUCCCAACUAUUUCCCAUAAUGUCCUGGUGAAACUUCCAUUUUGUGGAUGCAGCUAGGCAGCCUCUGCUUGCUUUGAUUUUAUUUCAUGGCAUUUUUCUCUUGUCUUUGCUUUAUGUUUAUAGUUGCCAGCAUAGUGGCUGCUAUUUUUAAGGAUUUUUUUUCCCUUGCGUGCUUGCUUUAAAAUGAUUUGUUAGUAUACAGUAUGAUGUAUUUUAAAUGGCUAAAGAGCACACCGGGUGUAGAUUCAAUAUAAAUUGAUUUGAGACUGCAGCAACCACAGUACCUUCAUCUACUCAAACCAGAAGAGGUCAUAGUUUCUAAAGUAGUGAGUGUGAGCACCUGAGAAAUACUCACUAUUGGUCAAGUUUAGACAACAGCCUGUAGAAGUUAUUCUCUGGCCUGUAGCUAUUUACAGUUUUCUGCUCUUGGAAAUAAAUUCCACUCAAUUGAGGAGAAUAACUUUGUGAACCCUGGAGAGGAUGUUGCAUUGGGAACCUGUGUAAGCAUAAUCAUACAGCACUUGUUAAAACAGGAGAACCCCAAAAAGGCUUCAGCUGCACAAGGGGUGGGAGGAGCUCACAAGUGCUGCUAAGGGCAAUGGGCUCUAAAUUUCAGCUCUGUUCUCCAGUCCACAGGGGCAAUUCUUCUUAACCCGAUCCCAAAGUCUACUGCAAACUGUUGUAUUUCAGAGCCCUUGGGAGAGUGUUUCACAAGAUGGAGAUUAGAAAGCAAGAACAGCAAACUGGAAAGUGCUUCGUGGUGUCUCUUUAACAGCUUAGGAUUGAUUCAUUUUAGUAUUUGUGUCUGGGUCUUAUUCACUGCUGCCUCAUAGAUCAAUGGCAUGACGGAGUCCCAGCUCGUGUUGAUGCAGCAUAUGGGAAUGGGAUCCAUUAUCUUUAGUUCCCAGGACUAUAAAAUGUCCAAUAAACUCAGCAGCAAGAACGCCGGAUUUGUGCACCUCCACCAGCUGCUGUAGCGUUGCUGCCUAUUAAGCUGUGUUUUUAGUUUCAUUAUUGAUGGGGAAUGCUGAUAGCUGAGCAAAUGAUGUUGCUUGCAGAUUUGAGGCACUUUCCCUGCUUAUAAAGGUAACUCCUGCUACGGUGCCUCCUCUUGCCGGGGGAGGAGGGCUGCAUGCUGCAGUGAGAAAUCAAUUUAAAUUAGCAUGGGCACAGCCAAUCCGUAGUGAUGUCAGCAGCUCAAGCUGGUUGCAGGAAUCUGAGCAGCAAGGCUAAGCGCCUCAGUCUCCAAUGCUCAUCCUUGCCACAGACCCCAGGCAGGGCAUCCCUGUGCACAUUUGCUGUUCCAGCAUCACUCUCAGUCUCUUCCCUGGCUGUUUAUGUUGCAGUUUGACUUUCCCCUGCUUUUCCCACCCCUGCUGAACCUUUGGAAUAAAUUCCGUAAUUGCUCUGAAAAUGGUGCAAAACCUGAGCUUGCCUACAGAAGUUGCUGUGGUGGAGUUGUGAGCAGCUCUCAAUUCCAUUUCACUUGUUUCCUGCACAUUGCCACCACAGGCACACUGCAGUUCCACUCCAGAAUCAGCUUUUAUUGCUUUCUUUACUCCUCUGGGAAACAGAGAUCAAGAACAGCUAUGGCAAGUUAGCCAAUAUCUUCAGCCUCUAGCAUCAUUAGUGUAGGUAAGCAUUGUAAUGGAAGCCAGCUCUUAUUAAUCCACUGAAUGUUGAUUCCUACAAACAAUCUCCAGGUAUUGUUUCAGUGCUUACGCAGUUGACUUCCUACUGAACCAUCAGCAUCCACUCUUGAGAAGAGAAACCCAUAUUCCACAGGCAGGAUCAUUUUCUGUUCCUGGACAUCGUGGAACUGAACACGGACGCCCAGCUUCUAGUAUCAAUGUUGGUAUGAAUACAAAGGAAAACUGUCCCUCUCCUGUGCUAAGGUCUGUGCAGGUGGUGAUUAAAGUAGCUGUCACCGUGCUUGUAGCUCAGCUGCUCUUGGCUGGACGCCUGCUGUUACUGCCUGCUGCCCAUGAGUGCCUUCCUCGGGCAUCUGCACCUCUUGGUGCCUGCCAUCAACAGCUGCAGCUCUGGCAAAGUCUGAUAAACACCAGUGCGUUUCUGCCAACUUUUCUCCAAGGAGCAGAAAGGAAGACGUUCAUGUCUAGUAGAAGUUUACUUUCAAGAGUAUGGAUCAGAGAUUUUGUACAAACUACUCUCUUAAAUUAUUGAAAAUCUGCUGUAAUUACUGAGUAUUUCAAAAUAUUCUGGGGAAGAACUUCUGGGCCCAUCUGUUUUUCCCUGCCCUUCACUGCCACAUGUCCGCUCAGCUAUUAGGAGUGCUAAAGGAUGGCUUUCAUGAAAACGAGGGCAAUGACGUGUUUGACAAAAUGUGACUUCUGUGAUCCAGAGGCAGAGGAUUCAUUACUUCCAUCUAUAGUUUUUUUGCAGCUUUUCCCCCAUCUUCUUAAAAAUGUAUUCCUACCACCUCGGAUUUGUCUGUCUCGAGCUCCCAGCUAAUGGUUUUUGUUAUCUACCACAUUAAAGAGCUUCACAGUUCCCUCUGUUUCCUUUCUGUGAAGGUAAUGGUACAUUGUAAUCAAGCCACCUCUCGGUCGUCUUUUUGAUAAGCUAAACAGAUUGUGCUCUUUAUGUUUCUCACUCUAAAGCACUUUCUUCAGCUCUUAAAUCAUUUUCGUGGCACUUGCUGCAGCUUUUUUCUGUGCAGUCACCAAUUUUGUUACACCCUUAUUAAAAAAGAUGAACCUGGAGCUGAGCGCAUUGUCAGGAACUGGCCUCAUCUAGACUGCAGGCAGCCUAAAAAGCCUGUGCUUGAAUCUACCUGCAUCCCCUUCCUUGUAUACAGGGAUUAUUUCACCUCUUUAGCAUGGCUCCCCCCUGGCAACCUCAGUUCAGAUGCUUGUCCCUGUGCAGUUAGUGCACGGCUUGUCCUGCUUCCCUCAGCCUUUACACCUGUUGAUAUUUAGAGGCAGUGUUUUGGGGCAAGCUUAUUUUCCCCAUCCAUGAAUGUUCCAUUAGGCAAUGAAAUGGGAGAAAAGGAAGCCCUUGACUCAUUUAGCAUGGUUGGUACUCCCAACCCCGUCCCUGUGACAGCCCUUUUUGACCUGCCCUAUCAGCACAUUAGUGAAGUUAUUUCAAGGUAGUCCCAGAUGGAAAAUGCCUUCGCUGUCCCACUCAGUCCUAGAAAUAUCUCUGUUUGAGUCCCAGUCAGAAAUAUCUCAUGAAAUCAGUUCUUCAUCCAUCUAAUGCAAUAUUUACUGAUGUUGCAGAGUGCUCAUUUCUUAAUCACCGUGCUGCAGGGCACCAAGCGCUGCACCUGGCAGUGGGAGGAGGUGAGCCAUCGCACCAGAUCCAUCCUCAGACAGAGAAGUAUUUUUUGAGACAGGGCUUCUAUUCACAAUAAUGCUGACUGACAUUAAUUAUCACUUAGAAACCCCUGUCAGCACUUCCAUUUGGCAUAGGAAUGGUGCCAGGAGGCAGCUCCAGCAGUAGGAAUUAACGCCCAGGUCCCCAGCGGCUGCUGCGGUGUUGUCCGCGACCGCACAUUGGUGGCAGCAGCGCACGGUGUUGCCCUCCCCUUUCCAACCCCUGUCCUUCCAAUCAGGUUUGCAGACUCAAACCCUUGCUUCAUGAGCACGCAGGGUGAUUUAUAAUGGGCUUCAAGUGGGAGACGCUGGGAUGGCAGUUGCGGCGCUCCCUGCAGCUGGCCAAGCUCCCUCCCCACGCGGCGAUCUGUGUGGCCGCACAGGAGGCACUUGCCCAUUAAAAUGCUGUCAGAGAUCGUCUUUCCGACUUAAAUCAAGGCUGUCGCUUUGGUAGGCGAGGGUUUUCGAGGUGUUUGUCUCUUCAUUCGUUGGUUGUUUUUGUUUUUGUUUUUUUAUCCUGUCCUUUCCGUGUUGUUAUUGCUUCCAUUCCUUAAAGCACCGCAAAUUGCAAGCCUGUGGCUUGCCGUGAAGGCAUGCUGGUAAAUGAUUUAUAGAGGGUCCUACAAAUCAUGUUGCACUGAGCGCAACCCCUUCCCCCACAGCAACAGCCAUCAUUUCAGUGCCGCUCAGCCUUCAAGGGAGCUAAGCUGUCCUUUCCCUGCUGAGAUUUAGGAAGCCAAACAGCACAAUGCAGCUAAAAGUGAGAGUAAACAUGCCACAGUAACAGCCUGGCAUUUAAGUUUCAGCAGGGCUUAAGGUGGCCUUGCUUAUCAGUGGAAUUGUGUUAUGACACCAGCUGGCGUCCAUAUACAGUUUUGAUGCUUUUACAGGCACAAAAUAAAAGCCCAAUAUGUGAAUAGGACUUUGCAGGCUUUUACAGAAAGAGCUUUCUUCUGGGGGCUACACAUGCAGGCACUGCUCGAGUUGCCCCUGUGCUCAGAAAAGCCUGGGUGAGGGCGAAAAGCUGCACGUGGCCCAAAGUGCCCCUUGUUCCCCACUAUGGGGACAAAGGCAUGGCACAGCCUUGACUUGUUUGUAUACAGGCAUACUUCCCUGAAAGCCAUUUCUCUAAAGUCUUUGUAGUUUUGUUUUUUGUUUUUUGUUUUUUGUUUUUAAUCUCAAGCUCCUUUUCCUGCUUUACAUCAUGCUUUCCAUUUUAGAGAUGUCAGAUGAUCUGUGAUAGAGUGACAGGAUGUGCAGGAGCAGUGAGGAGACGAGGUCCAUUUUAAUGAGACUAACUCUACUGGGUAGUGCAGACCGUGCCUCGACAAGCCCUUGGAUCUUGUUUCCUUUUGCAAAGCAUCUUAAUGGCAUAAAAGGAUUUUUGCACAAAUAAGGAAAGGCAAUUCCCCAAAUAGAUUUCUUUCAGUGGCCAUUGAAAUGGAAAGCUGCCACCGAGAAUUGCAUGAUCCUCUCUAAGAGGUAAGCACAAUCAGAAAUCAGUAUUGCUUGGCUCCCAAAAAUGGACUGAAAUACUUUGGAGUUAGCAGCGUGUUUGCUGGAGGCUCACCAUUCACCCAGCAGGUCCUGCCUGCUGGCACUGAGGUGUAAUGACACAUAAUAUGGUCUGACCCAGCAUUGCUUACCUAUGACCCAUUCCUGCAGGCAGCCUGGAUGCAAAGCAGGAAGAGUGGGGACUUACAGCGAGGUGCAAGGGAAAUAUGAGAAGGCCUCACGCUGUUCUCCUGCCUUUUGUUAUUUUGUCAGCUGAUCUUCCAGGCUGUUAUUAGAAUUUCAGGCAGGCUGGGGUCAUGCUUCACACUGACUACCAGCAUCAGGUAAAUACAAAUGGACAACUAGUCCUGGUCAAAGUUGCAAGGAAGGGUUUCUAUCAAUGGUAUAUUUUUAACCUAGACACCGCUAGUUUAAUAUGUUCUGCAACAUCUACAGAGAAUCACUUUUAUGGGAUCUAUUUUUUAAAUCUUGCUUUCCAGGGAAGUACUUUUUUUUAUCUGGUAUUCUUUCCUAAGCUACUAUUGGAUUCCAGCACAUGAAUUCUAAGAUUUUCUGGGCAAUGUUGCAAAAAAGUGAGUAGAUGAACAGAAGAUGUAAAAUACUCCCAGCUGCCUAGGCCAUCCACUCUGCCUGUUCUCUACUGAAAUGCGCAUUUGGGAAUGGUCUGUUCAGGUCUGCAGGAAAUCUUAUUUAGUUAUUUUUUAGUAUUAAAUAUAUAUAUAUAUUCUGAUCUUAACUUGCAUUUCUGACUACAAAUGACUCCUGUAUUUUUUUCAGGUAGGUCCAGAAUAUCACCCCAACUGUGAUCUAUUCCGGAGCUUUCUCUCUGUACAUAAAAGUCAGAUUUAUAUAAAUAGAUGCAGGAAAUCCCAUAUAGCCAGUGAUGAGAGGAUGUUAACCAAUUUUUAAAGGCCCGAUCAGAACAACUACAGAGAAGAGGUCAAUACUAACUGUUAUUCCAAGUGUUAAUCUUAACUCCAAUAAUACUAAAUACUAAAACGGGUUCCCAGAUAAGAAUUGCAAAUCUCGCAUUUGAGAAGAAAGGAAGUGUGAUCCUAGAAAACAGAUGCAGAGCCCUCCAGAUCUCUGCAAGCAUCCAGUCUUUACGCGUUUGAUCGAUAGCUUUAGCAGUGGGACAGAUGUGUGAUGUAUUCACUUUCAGAUCUUUCUAGGGAAGGAAACAAAACAGCAUUAAAAUCUCCCGCCGCUCAUCAGUGAGUAGAUGGCAUUCUCCACGGGAGGAGCAGGAAGCCUGCCUUGUGGACAGCCAUACCUACAGGUACCUUUUUAGAUUAUGGGAAAGGCAGGAAGGUGACAAAGCUCUGCUUUCCAUUCACUGGGACAACUGGCAAGGCAAAUGAACAGGGCAGGUGGGCAUGCACCCAGAAACUGAGGAGUGCUGGGGGAACAUCAAUAUUAGAUGAUACCUGAGUUGAUGAAGCUGUGAUGGGCAGACCUGGCUCUCUCUCUUCUGACAGCUAGCAUAGAUAGCUUUUUCUGUUCUCUGUUGCACCUUUAGGGAUCCCAACCAUCACUAGCAGCAGCUUGGGGGCAAAAAAGCCCAGGGCCUUUGGGUACCACAGAUCUCAUCAACAGAUCUUCAAACAGCAGGGAAAUGCCAGAGGCCAUAUGACUUACAGUCAGUGGCAAUUACUGUCCAGUGCCAUGAAAAUUGCUUGAAGAACAAGUUAGCAGCAUCAUAGCAACCGCCUGCUUAUGGGUUCUUUGUGUCCCUCUCAGAGCCAACCAAAGCAGCCCCCAGGCUUCCAUACAACAUGAUAUGGAGGAAAUUUCGGCGAAGCAUCAAAAAAAGCCUGCCUGCAUAGUGCACCUGGCACAUCUUUGAAGCCCUGAAAGGAAGUCUCUGUGUUCUGGUAUCACUUGAGCCUGCACAAAGGAGAUGAAAAGGAGGAAUAAAACAUCUGAACAGCCCUAUCUGGCCUGAGCUGCACACAUGCAUUACAGCAAAGAUGGAUUUCUUCUGGAUCCUCCUGUGUAUCCUCCUCCUUGGGGAUGGCAGCGAGCAUUUCAACACUCCAAUUACCGGAUGUUCAUGUUAAACAGAGAAGAGGGACAGCCAGUUGGUGACAAACAUUUAGAAUAUGGCAUCAGAAGAUCUGCACAACCUGCAGAAGGACCAACUGCAGUGAUCAUCACAGCCCCGCUCCCCACAAGUCUUUGCCAUACAUCAGCUCCUAGCAGGCAGCCUCACCAGGGCUUAAAUCCCCCCAGCUGCUGCAAAAUGGGACCAGAGGCCCCAGCUUAGCUGCAUCUCAGCCCCGAGUCCUGUGGCAUGGGGCUGCACCAGGAGCACUGCUCAUGCUGACCUUUGGAGUCUGCUUGAAAGCAUCUGAUGCUCAUGGCUGAGAGACGGCACAGUCCUUUCCAACUUCCUGGAGUUUUUGCCUUUGUUUUCUUCCCCACUCAAAUGGAAAUGAAAAUGCAGGCUAAGAAAAAUGGCAUUAAUAAUACAAACUGGGGGCCCUUGGGAGAAAAUUUCAGUUUUGGAAAGUCGCUACACUACGUGGAUGUGUCUUGCUAUCAGAAGUUUACCUGGAUUUUUUUGACUCUUCAUGCAUGCAUGUAUUUCUCUGCUGCCAUGCAUGGUCCUUUCUCCUUAUUUAAUUAGGGUACAAUCAUAAGCGUAUUCUUAAAUUAGAAGAAAUAUAUAAAGAUUCAUCCAUUCAGCAGGCAUUUUUUCUGGGAAAAUACAUGUUCUCCUUCAGGUAUUGGCUUUCUUCAGUUUUGUUUCUCUGUUUUUAAUUUAAAGGAACUUCUCUUAUGUUUUAUUCACUUGUUUUCAUUAGGUAAAAGAAUGCCGUGGCAUGAAAACCUGUCCUGAAUGCACCGCCUGCUUGACAGAUAUAUACAAAGACUUGAAACCUGAGAGGAAAAGCGGAUGGUUGCAAGCAAAAAAAAAAAAAAAUCUAAACAAAAGAAUGGAAUUAAAGCCAGCACCGGGGCACGUAUUAAUACCAUGCGGCUGUCAUUGCCCGCACUGAUUCCUAGGAGCGAUGCAGAGCAUUGUGCUCAGCAGGAUAAGACUGACAGACCUCGAAUAUGAACCCCCACUGCCUUCUAAAGAGGAUUUCCCAUGGCCAGUAAGUUUUGCUCAGGAGCUCAUCCCAGAAGAGGCAGGCACAAGGCAAGGACCCAGCAUCCUGUGGCAGGCACCAGUGAGGCACUGCUGGGCUCUGCAGCUCCAUUUUCCCCCCAGCCCAGGUGAUAUUAAGCUGCUCCCAGUGGGGCUGGAAAGUCUGAAGAUGUGUGAGGAAUGGAAGAAUGGCAAACAUGAGAUUGCUGGUGAUAAAGCAAUUCUGGUAAACGUUUGGAUGAAUUUUUUUCAGAAGAUCCACUUCCCUGUCACCCCUGCCUCUCUGUGCUCUGCUGAUGUUACCCUCCGUAACAAAGAGGUCACCAGAAGGAAGAUGUGCAGGAAGGAGGACUGCUAGGUGGAUAUUCCUAAACAUCCAGCACACCGCCAACAUGCUGCAUUAGUUCUGGGCCUGAGCAGAGUUAGACAAAAUAGCUUGAAAAAUGGAAUGUAUUUCUUUGUGGAGGAGUCUCAGACCUAGCACGGAUGUCAUGAAUAGCUGAAAUUAUGUCUGAAUUUGAGAAGAAAAAAACCAACUUCCUCUGAGGUGUGUCUUGCAACUGCAAAUGAGGUAUAACUUGAAUAAUCUUAUCAACUAUGAUGAGCUGCUAUUAGCAUUUGAGUUACAUUUCCCUCGAAAAGUCAGGAGGGGCUGCGGCCCCAGAUUAGGGAUCCCUCCUGACAUGUAAAUAGGUAGCACAUAUGGAAAUGGAGUUGUCCCAAGUGUCACCACCUCGAGGUGAAUGAUAGCUAGAGGUGGAAGAGUGGAGAAUAAAUGUUACUGCAAGAAAAGCUGCUGAAUUUCCUUUUGAGAGACUGAUAAUCCCGCAGGCUUCUACAGAAGCAGCUUUUGAUUAUCAUUGCUGAUGAUAUUAGAAGACAUCUCUGGAGUCUGUCCUUUAAAAAAUGUUUCCCUGGUGCUACUUGAAAACAUAUGGGUUGGGAACUGAAGUGAAAAACUGAUGUUUUGCUAACUCUCUUGGCACGAUGGAGGCUUAAAAAUGAUGUGCCUGAUACCAGAGAUGCAUUUUUAACAAUAAAUGAAAGCAGACUGGAUAAAAAUUCAAAAUACUAAAUGCAGAUGAAAGAGAGGCUGGUUAAAGGACCGGAUGAGAAAAGGUGGAUCAGUUCAGCUGGGCUGAACAGCAGAGCUAUUUGAGUUGCUUCGACACACUGAAGGUGCAGACACACACCUGCAACUUACAGAGGGAGCUGAGUAAUCCAGGUCUAACAGUGCAUGUCCAAAUGCACCACUUUCCCAAGGGCUUCAUCAGGUAACAAGAUGGAGAAGCUCAGGCUGCUGCUCGUAUGGUAACAGCUUGGAUGGGGAAGGAACAGAAAGAUGGAGCCAGGCUUCUUCAGUCUAGAAUCUAAUCCAUGCCAGACAGUGGUCUGUAGAUGGCUGCGGUAUCUAACACAGGCACAGCACCUGGAGGGAAGUUCAUGCCCCCCAAUGGCUCUUAUCCAUAAAACUAAACCUAUUUCCAGACAACAUAUGUUAAUCCUCAGAAGAUGUUGUGUACUGGAAUAAGUGUGUCUUAUACUGGAGCUGGAUGAGGUUAGUUUUGCUGAUUCAGUAGAAUCACAGAAUCAUUAAGGUUGGAAGAGACCUCCAAGAUCAUCCAGUACAACUGCCCACCUGCCACCACUAUUCCCCCAUUAAACCAUGUCCCUAAAUACCACAUGUACAUGUUUCCUGAGCACCUCCAGGGACUGUAACUUCACCACCUCCCCAGGCAACCUGUUCCAGCACCUGACCACUUUUUUGGAGAAGAAAUUUUUCCUAACCUGAAAAGGUUGGAUAGGUUAUAAAGACCAACCAACCAAACACAAAAAAACAUUAUGCUGAUGCCACUAUAAUGUCUUCACUGUGAAAAAUGCUGGCCAUCAACAAGGGAAAAGCUAGAUAGGCUUCAUCCCAUCAGCUCCACCAACUGUUAGAAAAUGAAUCUGUUGAAGUUGCUGCAGAAAAACUUCUGAAAAGAAGAUACUUUGGAAAAGUGCUGAAUCUGCAGAAUCAUUGCAUCUCUUGGCUGGUCAUGCAUUUUCUGAGCCUCUGCCAAUAAUUGCAGUUUCUGAAAACUUCUGAAAGCAAACAAGCAUUCCCUUCCACGGCUUUCUGUUCCACCACUUUGCCUCUUUUGGGUCCAUUAGUCAGUACAUGCAUACCCCCACAGUCAGGUGACCAGCAGAUUGGUGCUACAAAACUGCUUUGCCUUCCAGAAUGUCAGGUGAUGAAAUUUAGGAGGCUUGGGUGUAUUCAUAAGAUCAAAUAGCCAACUGCUGACGAGGUAGGUAUCCUGUGCCAGCAUGGGAAGACUCACCACCUACUUAAUUUCUGUAACCAGGUCUGAUAUUUCCCCAGGAAAUGUUUAAUAAAGAUGCCAAAACAUUUUAUUAUACCUGAAUGCCCCUUAAUAAAGAUGCAUUUUUGGUAUAUGAUGGUUACAGUGCCUGCUGAAGCUAUAAAGUUCUGUGGCAUCGUGAAGAAAUGGUAGAUCCUAAAGACAGCUUUUGCUCUUAGCCACAACUAAUUAGCAGUAUCUAUUUCUGAGUUUUCCCCCGCCCUGUUUUAACAAUCUCUAACUAGGAGCUUAACCUCUGUUCCAAAAACUGACGUGGGUAAAAUGCACUUAACAUUGCUCACAAUUCUUACAACAGACAGAACAGGUUUUGCAUUUGGCUACACAGAGAAGUUCUAUUUCAGUGAUUUUAGGUGGUAGGAUUUCUCCAGUUGUGACUCAAGCCAUGACUUCCCAUUAAAAGAAGCCUUUAUGCUUCUUCGUCCAGGAGGCAGGUCACGUUCUAAGACAAUUCAAACUAUUUUAUUCUAGCCUAUGUCUAAAUUGAAUGAUAAAAACUGUUAUCCUUUAUGACCAGCAACCAAUUAACUGACCUGGUGAUAGGGAAUUAAGUCAAUCUUCUUCCUUUGAAACGACAGCUGAAAUAGCAGCGGUACAGUUCUUAGUCUCCUGUUUGAGAGCAGGAGAGGAGGAAGGAUUGGAACAGGAUGACCGACAGACAGAAAUCUUGCCCUUGUUGCAACACCAAAAUGCUUCCCAUUAACUUCUGGAUGCUGAGAUCUCCCCGUCAUGUCACGCUUUCUAGGAAGCCUUCAUAAAAUCAGGAUAAAUGACAGUGGAGAGUGAGGAGUGCUCCCCAGCCCAAUGAAGGAAGAAAAUGGAAUGAAUGUGCAUUAAAUAUGGAAAAAAAUGGAAUGUUUGGAGUAAAUGAGCUUCCACAGCUCACUUUUCCAGGCACAAUGCUCUCAUGGCUGCCAUAUGUGACAUGCUUUGUUGGAUCCUUCAGGACAACUCAGUCUCAGCUAGAAGAGAUUGCACCGAGCAAAUUAGUUGGUGAUGCUUAGAAUCCAUUCUGUGCUGCUUCGUGGACAGCCCUAAACCCUGCAUACAUGGUUGGUGCAGAACUGGGAGGUCACAAAACCAGCUACCAGAAACAUACCUGAGGCAACAAAGAAAUGAAUUCACGUCCGGCUACUGAGGGAAAAGUGCCAGUUAUUUGUGUAGUUAUGUACAACUGCUGCCCAGAAGUACUGCAAAGUGUCAAAUGUAAAUGCAGAGUGCAGAGAAGAUGUUGGUCCUACUGGCAGGGUCCUUCACAGCGCUCCCAAGUGCCAACAUCUAAGAACCAAGCUGGACUGGACACCAGGGUAAUGCCAAAGAGUGUUCACAGAUGGGCACAGUACAGGCAAAUGAAUGCUAAAGAAAAUCUGGUGGAUGAUGUGACUCUUCUUAACAAAGGAACUAUUGUUUGUUUUGCCCAAUUCUGCCCCCUGGAGCUUUCAUCUGAGCCUUGGGAAAGCAAGCUGCCGUGUCCAGCACUGCUCCUGGCUGCUCUCUCCUUGCUGUCCCUGCCUGGUUCCCUCAGUGCAUUCUCCAACACUUGAAAAUUCACCCGACUUGUGACUCACAUUUUAAUCUUAUCCAAGUCACAAUGUUUAUUUCACAGGAUGCCCAAUUAAACAGUAAUUCAGCCUGCUCUGGAGUUGUUUCCUUCCCAUAUGGUGAUUGGUAUAACCUGAAUAAUGUAGGAAGCACAGAAGAAAAGGCAGAAAAGAACUUCAGUGAUAUUGGGAGAACAAGCUACAACUUCUCCCACUGAAGAAGAGUGGAAAAGAGCAUGCACAGAAGUGUUAACAUGGGUCAUCAUUUCUGAUGCUCCCUGACUCCUAAGAAGAGGAGGGAAGGAUUUCAGACUGGGUAUCAGGAAAAACUUCUUCCUUUAAAAGAGUGGUCAGGAGAACAGGCUGCCCAGGGAGUCACAGUCCCUGGAGGCGUCCAAGAAACACACAGAUGUUGUACUGAGGGACAUGGUUUAGUGGACAAGCAUUGGUGAUAGGUGGAUGGUUGCACUGGAUGAUCUUGGAGGUCUUUUCCAACAUUGGUGAUUCUAUGAUUCCAAGAUGGUGCUACCUGGGCAUGCAUAACAGACUCCCCUUAAGCCUGGGGAGCAGGAUCAGGAGUGAGGCUGCAAUUCACACUAAAUAAAAGAAAAUCCAUGGCCUCACUUUCCCUGUCCCACUUCUGCCCUCCACUGUAGCUACUGCAGGAAUGCCUGUUCCUUGCACCUUGCAUCCAAGGUGAGUGCUGGAGCUCCACACUCUGUAAGGUGAGGAGGAAGGUCCUGACUUCACUAGCUGCACGCUAAAGUCCAGGAGUCCUAAAAACUUAAAGGGGUUUUUAGCAUGGCACAGACCUGCAUGCUUCUUCAGGCCUUUCAUGCUCACGCAGCAGGGCACUGCCAUGCUACCCACAUAGACUUGCUCUUUUUGCUAUCUGCUCCUCCAGGGGCGAUUGCAGCACUCAUCUGCAGCACUCCAGGCUCACGCUGGAGGUGUGGAAAUAGAGACAGUGUUCUUCCCAAAGAAAUUUUCAAUGUGCUUUACUGAGACUUUCUAAAAAAAUAUAGAUUAAUUGUGAUAAUUAAAUUUCCCUCUGAGUGAUUUCUUUGAUAAAUGGGUCUAGUUAGGACUUUCAAUUAAGCACCAGGCCCUGCUGUGAAGUCAGACAGAGCUUCGUGUUUCAGGCAUUUAUUGCCUCAUUUACACAGAGACAAUAUGAAUUAUUUCAUGUUACGCUGUUUUCUUUAUGUCUUUUUUUUUUUUUUUUUAACACAGGUAUUAGAAUUCCUAUUAACCCUUCAAUCAGGAGCCAAUUAAAAAAAGAUGGUCACCAAUUUUUAAUCAUUUUGUGAUGGUUUAAUAAGCCUCCUGGAAUCCCUCUUCUGUCCAUACCGCAGCUCUCUGCUGCAUAAACUCACUGGUUUGUUGCUGUGCAGUUUCUCACAGGCUCCCAGGUGGUGAUAAAAGGAUAUGAAAAUAACAUCAAGUGGGGAAGAAAAGACAUUGACCCCAAAGACUCUGUUAUGACGGAUGGUGGUAAUAUGCAACCAUUUGGGGAACUUCUGUGUUUUUGCCUUGCCCAAAAUUCGGAGUAUAUGUUCAGGACUGCCUGGAGAAUUUCAGCUGCUGGGGGGCACUCCACCUUGAAUGCUGUUGUGCUCUUAAAGUUAUAUCCGUGCACUGGAGCAGAGCUGCAUGGCCAUUUUGAGCAUGGAAUUAGUUAAGAUACACAGUUUGUACCUUUUUACUAUGAAACUGGGAUUUUUAGCUUGUUUUUCUGGUUACUGGUAUUGAUGGUGUUCACCCAUGUAAUUGCUAAGCACUUUUUCUAGCCAUGAAGAGCAAGCAGUCCAAUAAUUUAAUAAUGAUAAUUUAAAAAAAAACACAAUCAAACAAAACUAAUCCAAAAGAGGGUCUAUUUUUACUACAGCAUCCACAUCUAGACACCAGCAUUCAUUGUCAUUGAUAACAGAGAAGAAAAAAGUCUCCUAGACUUAGGAAAUGGUUUUAAAUUUUUAUGAGCUCUCUGUAAUGCCAUCCUCAGCUACUCUAGCUAAGAUGAAAUUGCAAGGUUUACCCACUGAUGUGCUUUGAGAAAUAAAUCAGAAACUAAUUGUCUGACAUUAGAGAAGAACUUGUUUUUACCUCCUCCCACCCUACUCAACAUAACUAUUUCUGUUUCCUUUAUACCGUGUAGUCAGUGUCAAUGCAUGUGAUGAGAGCAUAUAUAUUUAUUAUUACACUUGGACUGAUCUUCAUUUGACCCAUGAAAUUGAUACGCUUCCUGUGUGAGAGUUAGUCAGAGACAUACUUUAAUUCUUAUUAAACUAAACCUUUACCAGGGGGCAGGGAGAUUGCAAGGGAGUCUCUGCCAUGUAAAGAAAUCAUGCUGUCUUUCCGUAUAUGAAUCUAAGCACAGUCGGACCUCAGAUUGUAUAGAGCAAGAGAUGUGAAAUGAGUUAUGAGUACUGAGAGUUUGAAUAAUUGACGGAAAUUUCGAUGCAAUUAAUAAAAAGUAAAGGAUGUGAA